AUAGAAGCCAUCGGUCCCUCCACUGGGAGCUGGUCUUCUGUGUUGCUUCACCCCACAGUAAAGGACGGGGUAUCUGAGAUUUUAAGGACAGUGUCCUACUUGGAGAGAAUGUGCAUGCUGGCAGGAGAGCAGGUCUGAAGGAGGCACCAGCCAGGAAGCUCGUGCAGCAUCCAGAGGAGACAUCACAAAGACCGUAUCCAAGUUCCUAAACAGUGGGGUUGGAGGAUGGGGCAAGCAGGAUCUGAGAUACAUUGUAGACGUAGAGAUAAUAACUUCUGGUAGUCUCCCAGGUAGAGAAGGUGAAAGAAGAAAUAAAAACAAUCCUGAGACAUUGAAAUUGGACACCGUGGUGAAUGGUGACCAUG
rnacentral:lncRNA from 1 species